AUUGAACGCUGGCGGCAGGCUUAACACAUGCAAGUCGAGCGAGCGGCGGACGGGUGAGUAAUGUCUGGGAAACUGCCUGAUGGAGGGGGAUAACUACUGGAAACGGUAGCUAAUACCGCAUACCAUCAGAUGUGCCCAGAUGGGAUUAGCUAGUAGGUGGGGUAAUGGCUCACCUAGGCGACGAUCCCUAGCUGGUCUGAGAGGAUGACCAGCCACACUGGAACUGAGACACGGUCCAGACUCCGACGGGAGGCAGCAGUGGGGAAGAUUACGCAAUGGGCGAAAGCCUGAUGGAGCCAUGCCGCGUGUGUGAAGAAGGCCUUCGGAUUGUAAAGCACUGUCAGCGAGGAAGCGUUACUUGAAGAGGAAGCACCGGCUAACUCCGUGCCAGCAGCCGCGGUAAUAC
rnacentral:rRNA from 1 species